rnacentral:rRNA from 1 species
AACGAACGCUGGCGGCAGGCUUAACACAUGCAAGUCGAACGAGAUCUUCGGAUCUAGUGGCAGACGGGUGAGGAACACGUGGGAACAUCCCUUUCAGUUCGGAAUAACGUUGGGAAACUAACGCUAAUACCGGAUACGUCCUUCGGGAGAAAGAUUUAUCGCUGAAAGAUUGGCCCGCGUCUGAUUAGCUAGUUGGUGAGGUAAUGGCUCACCAAGGCUACGAUCAGUAGCUGAUCUGAGAGGAUGAUCAGCCACAUUGGGACUGAGACACGGCCCAACCUCCUACGGGAGGCAGCAGUGUGGAAUACUGGACAAUGGGCGCAAGCCUGAUCCAGCCAUGCCGCGUGAGUGAUGAAGGCCUUCGGGUUGUAAAGCUCUUUUAUCCGGGAAGAUAAUGACUGUACCGGAAGAAUAAGCCCCGGCAAACUUCGUGCCAGCAGCCGCAGUAACAC